rnacentral:rRNA from 1 species
CCUACGGGAGGCAGCAGUGGGGAAUAUUGGGCAAUGGAGGAAACUCUGACCCAGCGACGCCGCGUGCGGGAUGAAGGCCUUCGGGUUGUAAACCGCUUUCAGUAGGGAAGAAGCGAAAGUGACGGUACCUACAGAAGAAGCACCGGCUAACUAUGUGCCAGCAGCCGCGGUAAUACAUAGGGUGCAAGCGUUGUCCGGAAUUAUUGGGCGUAAAGAGCUCGUAGGUGGUUCGUCACGUCGGAUGUGAAAAUCUGGGGCUCAACCCCAGACCUGCAUUCGAUACGGGCGAUCUAGAGUGUGGUAGGGGAGACUGGAAUUCCUGGUGUAGCGGUGGAAUGCGCAGAUAUCAGGAGGAACACCGAAUGGCGAAGGCAGGUCUCUGGGCCAUUACUGACACUGAGGAGCGAAAGCGUGGGGAGCGAACAGGAUUAGAUACCCUGGUAGUCCACGCCGUAAACGGUGGGCACUAGUUGUGGGAACCUUCCACGGUUUCUGCGACGCAGCUACGCAUAGUGCCCGCCGUCGGGAGUACGAGCGCGAGAUAAACGUUAAACGUAAGUUAGACGGCGUGAGACGUGCGACGGACGACGACGAGGGAGGAGG